AAACAGCCAAAUGACAGUUAUUUAUGCUUGAGGGCAAAUACACAAAUCCAUCAAUUAAAACCUGAAUUUAUGUCAUCAGGUGCUGCUGGAAUCCUUUUGGCAGGUCAAGCCAUCGUGUGGACUGUGGGAGCCGUGAUGGGUGCCGCUGCCAGCAACUGUACUUUGUAACCAGUUCAUUUUAUUGUAUCAGUAACUAGUGCUGUAUAUGUAUCUCUUUAUAUGUUCAUUAUCUCGUUGUCUGUCAUGGUGAUCAGAAUCUCUUGAAUGUUGUGCUGUAUCAGUAGCCCUAGGCUUAGGUGUGUAUGAGAUCUUCUUUUAAUACACACCUGCGUUAAAGGUGCUGUUUAUAGCACUGACAAUACAAGAA